rnacentral:rRNA from 1 species
AGAGUUUGAUCCUGGCUCAGGACGAACGCUGGCGGCGUGCUUAACACAUGCAAGUCGAACGGUGAUCCACUUCGGUGGUGAUCAGUGGCGAACGGGUGAGUAACACGUGGGUAACCUGCCUCUUGCUCUGGGAUAACUCCGGGAAACCGGGGCUAAUACCGGAUAUUCAUUUCUGACCGCAUGGUUGGUUGUGGAAAGUUUUUCGGCGAGAGAUGGGCCCGCGGCCUAUCAGCUUGUUGGUGGGGUGAUGGCCUACCAAGGCGACGACGGGUAGCCGGCCUGAGAGGGCGACCGGCCACACUGGGACUGAGACACGGCCCAGACUCCUACGGGAGGCAGCAGUGGGGAAUAUUGCACAAUGGGCGAAAGCCUGAUGCAGCGACGCCGCGUGAGGGAUGACGGCCUUCGGGUUGUAAACCUCUUUCAGCUCCGAAGAAGCGAAAGUGACGGUAGGAGCAGAAGAAGCACCGGCUAACUACGUGCCAGCAGCCGCGGUAAUACGUAGGGUGCAAGCGUUGUCCGGAAUUAUUGGGCGUAAAGAGCUCGUAGGCGGUGUGUCGCGUCUGCUGUGAAAACUCAGGGCUCAACUCCGAGCUUGCAGUGGGUACGGGCACACUUGAGUGCUGUAGGGGAGACUGGAAUUCCUGGUGUAGCGGUGAAAUGCGCAGAUAUCAGGAGGAACACCGGUGGCGAAGGCGGGUCUCUGGGCAGUUACUGACGCUGAGGAGCGAAAGCAUGGGGAGCGAACAGGAUUAGAUACCCCAGUAGUCC